AUUGAACGCUGGCGGCAUGCCUUACACAUGCAAGUCGAACGGCAGCACGGGAGCAAUCCUGGCGGCGAGUGGUGAACGGGUGAGUAAUAUAUCGGAACGUGCCCAGUCGUGGGGGAUAACGCAGCGAAAGCUGUACUAAUACCGCAUACGAUCUACGGAUGAAAGCGGGGGAUCGCAAGACCUCGCGCGAUUGGAGCGGCCGAUAUCAGAUUAGCUAGUUGGUGAGGUAAAGGCUCACCAAGGCGACGAUCUGUAGCUGGUCUUAGAGGACGACCAGCCACACUGGAACCGAGACACGGUCCAGACUCCUACGGGAGGCAGCAGUGGGGAAUUUUGGACAAUGGGCGCAAGCCUGAUCCAGCAAUGCCGCGUGCAGGAUGAAGGCCUUCGGGUUGUAAACUGCUUUUGUACGGAACGAAACGGUGAGCUCUAAUACAGUUUGCUAAUGACGGUACCGUAAGAAUAAGCACCGGCUAACUACGUGCCAGCCGCCGCAGUAAGAC
rnacentral:rRNA from 1 species